UUGGAAGCAGGCUAAAGUAAGGGCAGUGUUCCGAUUGGUUUCUAUCUGAGCAUUUAUGUCAGAGCCCAUGUCUAACAGGAGCUUAACAGCAGCUGUAUGCCCAUUCAUAGCUGCUAACAUCAGAGGAGAGAUGCCCAAUUUGCUACCAGUUCUAGGGUUAAUCUCAGCUCCUGCAUUUAGUAAUAUUUUGAUGAUGUUCACAUAGCCACCAGAAGCAGCCAGACUUAGAGGUGUGUAAUCAGAA
rnacentral:lncRNA from 1 species